GACGAACGCUGGCGGCGUGCUUAAUACAUGCAAGUCAACUUGACUUUAGAUAGCAAUAUCGAAAAGUAGGGUGGCGCACGGGUGCGUAACGCGUAGGUAAUCUGCCCUGAGGUCUGACAUAACCCGUCGAAAGGCGGGCUAACAUCAGAUGAUAUAUAAUCACGACAUCGUGGAAAUAUCAAAUCUUCGGAGCCUUGGGAUGAGCCUGCGUCUGAUUAGGUAGUUGGCGGAGUAAUAGCCCACCAAGCCUACGAUCAGUAGCUGGUCUGAGAGGAUGAUCAGCCACACUGGAACUGAGACACGGUCCAGACUCCUACGGGAGGCAGCAGUAAGGAAUAUUGCUCAAUGGGGGAAACCCUGAAGCAGCAACGCCGCGUGAAGGAUGAAAUACUUUGUAUGUAAACUUCUGUAAGAUGGGAAAAUAUUCUCCUCGGGAGAAUUGAUUGUACCAUCAGAGUAAGCCCCGGCUAACUACGUGCCAGCA
rnacentral:rRNA from 1 species